rnacentral:rRNA from 1 species
AGACCUCAAAUCAGUCAGGACUACCCGCUGAACUUAAGCAUAUCAAUAAGCGGAGGAAAAGAAACUAACAAGGAUUCCCCUAGUAACGGCGAGUGAAGUGGGAAAAGCUCAACUUUGAAAUCUGGUACUUUCAGUAUCCGAAUUGUAGUCUCAAGAAGUGUUUUCUGUGCCGGUCCAUGUAUGAGUCUGUUGGAACACAGCGUCAUAGAGGGUGACAACCCCGUUCAUGACAUGGAUCCCGGUGCUUUGUGAUACACUCUCGAAGAGUCGAGUUGUUUGGGAAUGCAGCUCAAAUUGGGUGGUAAAUUCCAUCUAAAGCUAAAUAUUGGCGAGAGACCGAUAGCAAACAAGUACCGUGAGGGAAAGAUGAAAAGCACUUUGGAAAGAGAGUUAACAGUACGUGAAAUUGUUGAAAGGGAAACGAUUGAAGUCAGACGUGCGUGAUGCGGUUCAGCUUUAGUUCGCUAGAGUGUACUCCGUAUCUUUGCAGGCCAGCAUCGGUUUUGUUAGUCGGAUAAAGGUUUGAGAAAUGUGGCAUCUUCGGAUGUGUUAUAGUCUCAGACUGAAUACGAUUGAUGGGACCGAGGAACGCAGCGCGCCGCAAGGCAAAGGUUCCGACCUUUCGCGC